GGUACUGUGACUUAGUUGGUUAAAGCACCUGUCUAGUGAAUAUGGGCUCUUGGGUUCGAAUCCCACCAGAACGU
rnacentral:tRNA from 1 species